AUGACCAUCGCAAGCCGUAGGGUACUCGUCCGAGUAGUUUUGAGCUCACUGCCAACCUACACCCUGACUUUCCUAACGGUGCCAAAGUAGUUCUUCAAAGACAUCGACAAGUCGCGGCGUCAUUUUCUGUGGGCACAAGAAGAAGAACUAACAGGGGGCAAAUGCAAGGUGGCAUGGGCCAAGGUGUGCUCACCGAUCGAGUUUGGAGGGCUGGGGAUCAUGAACCUAGAGCUCUUCAGCCGGGCCCUGAGGAUCCGGUGGCUAUGGAACUCAUGGAAGCACCCUGACAGGCCUUGGAUUGGCACAACGCUGCCCUGUGAUCGCAGCGACCAUGCCCUCUUCAGUGCAGCUACCACGGUGUAG
rnacentral:rRNA from 1 species